rnacentral:ncRNA from 1 species
UACAGAGGCGCGGAGCUCAUGAGUCCCCCUCCUCAGCACCGGGCAGGACCGGGAGAAGGGGAAAAGGGUGCUUCGCCGAAGGGCUGGGAGGGCCUGCGCUCCCCGCUCUGGGCCGACUCAGAAGAUGGGUCGGACUGCCGCCUGAGGCGGAGCGCUGUG